rnacentral:tRNA from 1 species
GAGUUGGUAGCUCAGUGGAGGAGUGCAUGCUUAGAAUGUAUGAUGUCCUGGGUUCAAUCCCCAGCUUCUCCU